UAAUCAGAUUCCAUAUUUAUCGCUAUAUAUCGCUAACACGCCAUGUGGCGCAUAUGCGACUCAAUUGUUGACAAAUAUGUCUCUAACCUUGCCCUUACGACGUGAUGAUUGAUCAGCACGUCACGCCGCCUGCAUCGUGCGGGCUCCAUGCGGUCAUUUUGCUAUCUGGGGAAGCGAUGAUGUAGUGUGAGGAGAGGCAGCGAAAUUGUAGUACGAAGGAGGUGGAGGUUUUCAUUUUCAAUAGGGAGCGUGUACCGUAUGAUAUUCCACGCUCACUACAAGACCCUGGCGAAAUGCAUGCUAGUGUGCAAACGCUGGAAUGACUUGAUUCACAUUAUCUGCAAGGAGAGCAGUUCUUUUGAAGGAAAUUUGAUUAAAAAUCAUUCCGGAAGUGAUGGUCUUGAGGAACAUUGGAAGAUUUCAAGAAAUGGUGGCAACAAGUGGGCAGUUGAAAAUUGGCCCGUGGGUGCUCCACCAUUGUCGGAAACAGCCAUUGUUCGCAGACAGCAAAACUUGUUUCGUAACUUCAUAUCACGAUUGUAGUAAAAGUCUUAACUGUGGAUCUUCUUGCUGAAGGACUGACUUCACAAAUUUUGGAUAAGCUUCAACUGCCCAUAAUGCACAAAAGAAGCUCGGGAACGCAAAAAAAAACUCUAGGAGACUAUUAUGGAGAUCGAACACUAGUUUUAAAGCAGAAUUAAAUAAAUUUUUUUACCCUUUACAUAAAAAGGACCACCUUAAGUUAAGGACAGAUCAAGGGAAACCUGAAGGAGUCAGGGGAUUUUCGACUAAAUGAAGUUGAAGUUAAUUUAAUUAUUUUG